UUGUAAUCGAGGUCGGUCACAGUUG
rnacentral:piRNA from 1 species